GAAAAAUGAAGUUCUUGUGCCAUCUAGGAUUGACUUGUGGUAUGGGCAUCUUAGUCAUUAGCAAUUAUUUUGCUCUCCACUAUUAAUGGAUUUAUGAAAUGCUUCUUGUGUGCAUGCAAUUAUUGUUCUAUCCUGUUGAUGGGGAAAUUUUUCUUUGCUUUUUUAUGGUGUGGCAUAAUUCUGGAAGUGCUAUUUCACGUAAGAUCCCAUGUCACUGAUGUAAUGCUUCAAAAGUUAGUUUGAAAUUUAUCAUGUUUGUGAUACUAUUUAUGAGAUUCAGGUAUUAGUAUUGCAAACCUUUGCAGUUUGAAAUAUGCAGGUUUUCAAUUCGAAAAUGCAACUUGCAUUGUGAAUAUUUUAAGAAUAUAUGAAUUUGAAUGUUUUUAAUAUUCCCAUCUACUUUUGAGAUAAAGGCUCAGCUGAGUUGAGUUGAGUUUUUAAUAUUCCCAUCUACUUUU
rnacentral:misc_RNA from 1 species